GCUCUAGGGUCCCGCCCACUGCCGGUUCCUCUCUACACUACUAUAGCUGAUGCUUUCUGGGAAGUGUCACCUUCUGGCAGGAGGCCAUCAGGACAAUGUGCAGACAACUCCCAGUACCAGCCCAGAGCCAGGCAGACUCACUGGGUGGCUAGACCCAGAGGACAGACAACAAUCACUGCAGUUUGGCUCACAGGAAGCUACUUCCUUAGGAAAAGGGGGAGAGUACUACAUCAAGGGAAUACCACACGGGACAAAAGAAUCUGAACCACAGCCUUUAGCCCUAGACCUUCCCUCUGACAGAGCCUACCCAAAUGAGAAGGAAACAGAAAACCAACGCUGGUAAUAUGAUAAAACAAGGCUUUUUAACACCCCCCCAAAAUCACACCAGUUUACCAGCAGUGGAUCCAAACCAAGAAGAAAUCCCUGAUUUAUUUACCUGAAAAAGAAGUCAGGAGGUUAGUUAUUAAGCGAAUCAGGGAGGCACUAGAGAAAGGCAAAACCCAAUAAUAACUAAGAUCAGAGCAGAACUGAAGGAGAUAGAGACAUGAAAAACCCUUCAAAAAAAUCAAUGAAUCCAGGAGAUAGUUUUUUGAAAAGAUUAACAAAAUAGAUAGACCGCUAGCCAGACUAAUAAAAAAGAAAAGAGAGAAGAAUCAAAUAGACACAAUAAAAAAUGGUAAAGGGGAGAUCACCGCUAAUGCCAUGGAAAUACAAACUACC
rnacentral:lncRNA from 10 species